UCAUAUGCUUGUCUCAAAGAUUAAGCCAUGCAUGUCUAAGUACACGCCUCGCUAAGGUGAAACCGCGAAUGGCUCAUUAAAUCAGUUAUGGUUCCUUAGAUCGUACCUCUCUACUUGGAUAACUGUGGUAAUUCUAGAGCUAAUACAUGCAGCAGAGCUCCGACCUCCGGGGACGAGCGCUUUUAUUAGACCAAGACCAAUCGGGCUCCGGCCCGAAACUCCUGGUGACUCUGGAUAACUUUCGGCAGAUCGCACGGUCUCGCACCGGCGACGCAUCUUUCAAGUGUCUGCCUUAUCAACUGUCGAUGGUAGGUUAUGCGCCUACCAUGGUCGUAACGGGUAACGGGGAAUCAGGGUUCGAUUCCGGAGAGGGAGCCUGAGAAACGGCUACCACAUCCAAGGAAGGCAGCAGGCGCGCAAAUUACCCACUCCCGGCACGGGGAGGUAGUGACGAAAAAUAACAAUACGGGACUCUAUUGAGGCCUCGUAAUUGGAAUGAGUACACUCUAAAUCCUUUAACGAGGAUCUAUUGGAGGGCAAGUCUGGUGAGCUCGUAGUUGGAUCUCAGUUCCAGACGGGGUGGUCCACCGCCCGGUGGCUACUGCCCGGCCUGAACAGUACCGCCGGUUUUCCUUGAUUCUCUUCACCGAGUGUCUCGGGUGACCGGCACGUUUACUUUGAAAAAAUUAGAGUGCUCAAAGCAGGCGUGACGCCGGAAUAAUGGUGCAUGGAAUAAUGGAAUAGGACCUCGGUUCUAUUUUGUUGGUUUUCGGAACGCGAGGUAAUGAUUGAGAGGGACAGACGGGGGCAUUCGUAUUGCGACGCUAGAGGUGAAAUUCUUGGACCGUCGCAAGACGAACUACUGCGAAAGCAUUUGCCAAGAAUGUUUUCAUUAAUCAAGAACGAAAGUUAGAGGUUCGAAGGCGAUCAGAUACCGCCCUAGUUCUAACCAUAAACGAUGCCAACCAGCGAUCCGCCUGAGUUCCUCAACUGACUCGGCGGGCAGCUUCCGGGAAACCAAAGUGUUUGGGUUCCGGGGGAAGUAUGGUUGCAAAGCUGAAACUUAAAGGAAUUGACGGAAGGGCACCACCAGGAGUGGAGCCUGCGGCUUAAUUUGACUCAACACGGGAAAACUUACCCGGCCCGGACACCGGAAGGAUUGACAGAUUAAGAGCUCUUUCUUGAUUCGGUGGGUGGUGGUGCAUGGCCGUUCUUAGUUGGUGGAGCGAUUUGUCUGGUUAAUUCCGAUAACGAACGAGACUCUAGCCUACUAAAUAGGGGACCGAUCACUGACAGUCGGUCCGUCUUCUUAGAGGGACAAGCGGCGUUUAGCCGCACGAGACAGAGCAAUAACAGGUCUGUGAUGCCCUUAGAUGUCCGGGGCCGCACGCGCGCUACACUGAAGGAAUCAGCGUGCUCAUCGCUGUCCGGAAGGACUGCGUAACCCCGUCAACCUCCUUCGUGAUGGGGAUAGGGGCUUGUAAUUGUUCCCCUUGAACGAGGAAUUCCCAGUAAGCACGAGUCAUAAGCUCGUGUUGAUUACGUCCCUGCCCUUUGUACACACCGCCCGUCGCUACUACCGAUUGAACGAUUUAGUGAGGUCUUCGGACUGGCGCUCGGAGCGGCCGCCGUGUUGCCGCCCGCCUGCCGGAAAGAUGACCGAACUUGAU
rnacentral:rRNA from 1 species